GAUGAACGCUAGCGACAGGCUUAACACAUGCAAGUCGAGGGGCAGCGGGGUAGUGCUUGCACUACUGCCGGCGACCGGCGCACGGGUGAGUAACACGUAUGGAACCUGCCCGCAGCAGGGGGAUAAGCGGAAGAAAUUCCGUCUAAUACCGCGUAAGAACGUUGGGAGGCAUCUCCCGAUGUUUAAAGAUUUAUCGGCUGCGGAUGGCCAUGCGGCGCAUUAGCUAGUCGGCGGGGUAACGGCCCACCGAGGCGACGAUGCGUAGGGGUUCUGAGAGGAAGGUCCCCCACACUGGUACUGAGACACGGACCAGACUCCUACGGGAGGCAGCAGUGAGGAAUAUUGGUCAAUGGCCGAGAGGCUGAACCAGCCAAGUCGCGUGAGGGAAGACGGCCCUACGGGUUGUAAACCUCUUUUGUCGGGGAGCAAAGCGAACCACGUGUGGUUCAUUGAGAGUACCCGAAGAAAAAGCAUCGGCUAACUCCGUGCCAGCAGCCGCGGUAAUACGGAGGAUGCGAGCGUUAUCCGGAUUUAUUGGGUUUAAAGGGUGCGCAGGCGGAGGUGCAAGUCAGCGGUCAAAUUGCGGGGCUCAACCCCGUACUGCCGUUGAAACUGCAUCCCUUGAGUGCGCGAGAAGUAUGCGGAAUGCGUGGUGUAGCGGUGAAAUGCAUAGAUAUCACGCAGAACUCCGAUUGCGAAGGCAGCAUACCGGCGCGCAACUGACGCUCAUGCACGAAAGCGUGGGUAUCGAACAGGAUUAGAUACCCUGGUAGUCCACGCAGUAAACGAUGAACACUAACUGUUCGGCCAGAAUGAUGGCUGAGUGGUACAGCGAAAGCGUUAAGUGUUCCACCUGGGGAGUACGCCGGCAACGGUGAAACUCAAAGGAAUUGACGGGGGCCCGCACAAGCGGAGGAACAUGUGGUUUAAUUCGAUGAUACGCGAGGAACCUUACCCGGGCUCAAACGACACAGGAAUACUUUUGAAAGGAGGUAGCCCUACGGGGUCUGUGUCGAGGUGCUGCAUGGUUGUCGUCAGCUCGUGCCGUGAGGUGUCGGCUUAAGUGCCAUAACGAGCGCAACCCCUAUCGCCAGUUACCAUCAAGUAAAGUUGGGGACUCUGGCGAGACUGCCGGCGCAAGCUGAGAGGAAGGCGGGGAUGACGUCAAAUCAGCACGGCCCUUACGUCCGGGGCGACACACGUGUUACAAUGGCAGGUACAGAGAGAAGCCAGGUGGUGACACCGAGCGGAACUCGAAAGCCUGUCUCAGUUCGGAUCGGAGUCUGCAACCCGACUCCGUGAAGCUGGAUUCGCUAGUAAUCGCGCAUCAGCCAUGGCGCGGU
rnacentral:rRNA from 1 species